AUGGGGGGGUGGGAGGGCAGGACCACCAGGACCCCCCCCAUUUGCAGCCCCCUCCUCACCCCACACUUACGAUCAGCAGGAUCUGGCCAGUCCUCUCCACUGCCGAGCAGUCCUGGGGGGGGGACAAAGCACAGGGCUGAGUGGGACGGAUCAGCCCCCCCCUUUUCCAGCCAGGGGGGACCCCAAAGGGAGCUCCCCCUCACCCUAUUUCUCCUCCCCCCCCCCAUUGCUCAGAGGUUUGGGGGCACGGGACAGUGCACCCCGAGCACCCACCGCCUGCAGCACCUCCGCCAGCCGGGCGCAGAGCAGGACGAUGUCCCUGCUGGCCGAAAAGUCGUUCAGGGUGGAGAAAAGGUACCUGGGGAGCAGGGCGGAGAGCUCAGUGCCAACCUCGGGGUGCACCCAGCACCCAUGGGUGCCCCCCUUGCCCGCCCCGCACCUGUUGAGCCAGGAGAAGAGCCCCUUGGCGGCCCCGAUCAGCUCCACCACGCAGGCCAGCAGGGAGAAGGGGGGCGGCUGGGGGGUGACACCCCCGGGCGGCCCCUCCAGCACCAGGGUCUGGGUGCGCAGCGCCAGGUCCCGCAGCCCCUCCGUCAGCGUCCGCAGGCUGGUGCUCGCCAGCUCCGUGUCCUGCAAUGGGGAGCGGGGACGUGGCCGGGGUGGGGAAUGGGGGGGGCAGGAUGCAGAUCAGGGGGCUCCAAGACCCCGCGUCCCCCUCUCCGUUCAGCCCUGAGGGUCCCCGUGUCCCCCUGCUCCAUCCAGCCCUGGAUAACCCCCUUGUGGCUCAUCCAGCCUAGGGUGUCUCCACGUGUCCCCCCAAAAACCCUCCAUCCAUGCCCCCAUGUCCCCCCUCAUUCACCCCAGGGUGCCCCCAUGUCCCCCCUCCAUCCAGCCCAGGGUGCCCCCAUGUUCCCCAAGGGUGCCCCCAUGUCCUCCCUCCAUCCCCCCCAGGGUAACCCCAAAUCUCCGCCCCAUCCCCUCCAGAGUAACCCCAAAUCCCCCCUCCAUCCUCCCCAGCUCCCAAAUCUCCCCAGGAUAACCCCAAAUCCCCCCUCCAUCCCCCCCAGGGUGCCCCCAUGUCCCCCCUUCCCCCCUCCCAGCUUACCCCCACCCUCCCUCCCUUCCACCCAGCCCUCACCCCAGCAGCACCCAUGGGUGCCCCGGGCUCACCAGGGCUCGAAGCUGCUCCACGGCGUCCAGCAGCAGCUCCUGGUGCCCCACGCGCCGCACGCCCAGCGCCUCCAGGCCCCCCACCGACAGCCCCAGCAGCUCGGUGCCCGCCAGCCCCCAGGCCUCGAAGGGGUACCCCUGCACCGCCGCGUCCAGCCCUGCCCCAAAAAAAACACCCCUAGAGCCAGGCGGAUGGGGUGGGGGGGGGGACCAUGGGGGGCUCUGAGCCCCUGGCUCGGUGACCCCCGUGUCACUCAUUUGGGGGUGACGCCUGGCUAUAGGGAGGGUGCCAUCCGUGCAAUGAGCCCGCCAGGUCUCAGCACCAUGACCUGGGUGUGGACACACACACACAGCCCCUUCCCCACCCCCCCAACCCCAAAUAUCACCCCCCCAGGGAUCAUUUUGGGGGAAUCUCUGCCCCAGUGCUGUCCCCAAAGCAGAGCCACCCCCCUCCUCCUCCCCACCCGCCCCACUGGGGUCCCCCCCAUGGGGUUUGGGGCACCCCAAGCUGGCUGUGGGGGGUGGGUUUUAGGGUUUUGGGGUCUCACCUCGCAGCCAGGCCGCCACCUGUGCAGGGCCCCAGGCGCCCACGGGCUCCAUGGCGGCGGCAGGGCCGGAACCAGCUCACGGCCCCGCCACAAACCUGCGCCAGGUCAGGCCGGCCCCAUUGGCGCGCCCGGGUGCCGCUCACCGAGGCCUCCCUCCCUCCCUCCGCUCCCUCUCUCCCAGUACGGCCCAGUACGGCCCCAGUACGGCCCAGCAGGGGCGAGGCAGCCGCGACGCGCCCUGCGUGACUCACAACCCCGAGCGGCCGUCGAAACGCCCUGCGGGGAACGAUGGCGAACCCAGCUCGGGGGGGCCCCAAUCUCCAUUUUCUGA
rnacentral:lncRNA from 1 species